AAGAAAUAUCCUUCUGAGUUCAGUUCCAAGUGGGGAAGAAGGACACUGGAAGCAUGGAGGGUGUUUGGAAAGAUGGUUUAAUGGUGGACAGGACCAUAUGGCUUGGAGCUCCAAAGUGAAAAGGACAUGCUUCAAGAUGAAGUAAGAGUUCCAGA